CUCUUUUUGUUUAUAUAUAAAGUAUGACCUGCCCACUGAUUUAUUUGAAGGGCCGCGGUAACCUGACCGUGCAAAGGUAGCAUAAUCAUUAGUUUCUUAAUUAGAGGCUGGAAUGAAUGGUUGGACGAAAUAUGAGCUAUCUCAUUAUUUUUAUUAGAAUUUAAUUAUUAAGUAAAAAAGCUUAAAUAUUGUUAUGGGACGAGAAGACCCUAUAGAGUUUAAUAUUAUAAUUUUUAGAUUAGUUUUGUUUUGCAAUAUUAAUUAUAAUUUUUUGUUGGGGUGACAGGAAGAUAUAAAUAACUCUUUUUAUUGAUAAAUAUUAAUUUAUAGAAUUUUGAUCCAUUUAUAAUGAUUAUAAGACUAAAUUACCUUAGGGAUAACAGCGUAAUCUUUUUUGAGAGUUCUUAUCAAUAAAAGGGGUUGCGA
rnacentral:rRNA from 1 species